rnacentral:lncRNA from 1 species
CCAGCAAUUCUUUGUAGCUAACUUCCAGAAGCUUUAGUCAGCCUGUAAAAGAUCCACAAGUAAAUUCUGCCUUUCUAUCAGAAAACACUAGAAAUACAAGGAAGUCUAUGUGUAAGGUUUAUUAGAGCUUACUACUGUACUUCAAGUGAUAAUUUUUGUUGAAGAACUGGGUGGUAUAGGGGUUAUUGCAUUGGCUCAGAAAACCAGGCUUUAAAACCUGCCCCUGAAACUCAUAUAGUGACCUUAAGCCAGUCACACACUCAGCCUAAUUUUCCUCACAGGGUUGUGAUGAGAAUAAAGUCAGGAAAGGAUAAGUUAGAAACAACACCUUGGGUUUACUGGAGAGAAAUCAGGACGUAAAUAUGACAAGUAAGGAGAAAAAUUGGGGGGGGGAUUUCAACUUACUGUGUAGGUAACAUACACAGCCUUUACCCAAAGCUCUCCUUGUCACUUUUAUAUACACUAACAAUCCAUAGCAAAUCACUCAGCUCAGUAGCAAUUCACAGUUGAAACCACUGCCACAAGCAGAGUUGCCUGCACAACCAUACUGUGUUGGAAUAUAAUUAAAACAUCAAUGAAGGUUUUAAAGAAAAAAAAAGUACUGUAUUGCCAUUACUAUCCUCUACUAAGACAUUAUGUAUAAAAGGCACACACAGGUUUUGAUACCAUAGAUGUUUUCUAAAGCUGUCUUUAGCUCAGCAGUAUUGCCUUUGCUUAGUCCAUAGAAUUUCUAUGUAUUGUUUAAACUAUGUAGUGUGAUUGUGUCCCUUGUGCUCAUUUCACCACUGUCUCACAUUUAUCACCCUGAUACAUUCAAACCCCAGAAAACAAAUGGUGGAGGUUCUAUAUCUGCAUCCAUAUUCUGUAACAGGGGAAGGAGGCUUUGAUCAUAAGAGGGUAACAACAGACAUCAAGAUAUUCUGUUCAGUAGCAGAUAUAGUUAGGCCAAAAAUGCAGCUGGUUUUGGUGGAUAGAGAGAUCCAAACUUAAUUUGGGUGGCCAGGGUCAUUCAUGGUCUUCAGUUACUUUGAACAGUCCCACUCUUUCUAUGUCUAGACCAGACUGAAGUAGAUCAAAUGAAAACCAGAAUCAUUCAGACACUGCUUCCACUUUGCAACUGUUCUUCAAGAGAGAAAAGAAGAACCCACUGGAUUUUUUUGACUGGAAAACAUCCAUCUGGAGG